rnacentral:lncRNA from 1 species
GCACUCGCUGGUGUGUGGGGAAGCAGUGAGGACAGCGUCACCCUUUGGAUUCAGAGGGAGAGAAAAAAAUUGGCAAAGGGAUCUGAGAUCCGCAGGUUGUGACCAGCCUCUUCUCCAGGGCUUGAGGAAGGGUCUCUUUUCCCUGUGCUGAGAUUUAAGGCUCUCGUUGAAAAGUUCACAGUAAUGACAGAGCUUUGAUUUUUUUUCUUUCUUCUUCUUCUUUUUUUGCCUGGUAUCCCUAACUUAGAUUUUCCAAACCAUGUCCCUAACUUCACCACAGCCUACUGCAAAGUAAACUCUGGUUGCAAAGAGUGGUGAAGUCAGAAAAGAUUAAGUGACUUUAUGUAAUAAUCGAGGGUUGCUUUAGGGAGGCUGCCUCUUUAUGUAAUAAUUGAGAGUUGCUUUAGGGAGGCUGUGAUGUUGGAAUAGCAUCGUUCUUUUGUGGUAAACACCAAGACUUUUUGGACUUUUUUUUUUUUUUUUGGUUUUAAGGAGCGGAGAAUUUAAUAGGCAAGAAAGAAGGAAGAAGGCUGAAGGAAGAAGCUCCCCACUACAGAGACAGACGGAGGGGGCUCCCAAGACGAAAGAGGAGACCCCCAUUCUAGAUGUUCUUAACCCUUUGAGGGCAAAGCUCUCCGUUUAAUGCCUUGCACAUAUCAGGUUGCCAACAACAUGGUGUGGUUUAUCAAUUGUGAUAGGUUACUUAUUCGAGCCCCUGUUUACAAGAGUUUUAGUUUUGCAGGCUGAGAAGUACUAUGUUAAGAAAGAUUUUGAGGUUGUCCUCAUUCUACUGGAAGGAGUAUCAUUUGAUUUGUGAUGUCUGCCAUAGUUGGAAAGAAUUGGUGACCUGUUUAGGUAAUUAUUGUCUAAUGUGACUAUAUAUUAGUGUUUGUUUUCUACAUUUGUUGCACUGUGCAGAUACAUUCUUUAGUGAAUUGUAUUCAUGCUAAUUCCUUAUUUUAUGAAUAGCAACAGAUCACUUAAAUAAGUUUUAUAAAUUAUUUCAAAUUAGGAAUUUUUAUAAUAUAGCUACAACGUAUUAAGUAAAUUUUGACAUCUAUAGAUGAAUCAACUCGUAACUGA